rnacentral:lncRNA from 10 species
CCACCUGCCUUCCCCAGGGGGCUGCUCCUGCUCACAGAGGGAUGGCCAGCCUGGCCUCCAGAGAGCUGGAAUUGUCAUUGCAGUGACAGGAGAGAACAGGGCUCUCAGCUCUGGAAACAGAUUCUUAUCCUCAUCUUGGUCUUGGGAAUUAGGCUGGAACUGGGUGAGAACAAGCUUCCCAGCCACACAGGCCCAAAGAGAGUCACAGAAGUACAGAGGCCAUAAACUCAGCCCUUUCCCCUCUGACUCCCAGAUACGGAGGCGAGAGGCUCAAAGCCAGCUCGGCAAACCCUGGGGACUAGCUGUGGAAAGCAACUUCAAUGAGAUGCGUAGAAUGCCAAAAGUUCAGAGUCAAAGGGCAUCCUUGGAUUCCCAGGCUUUUUAGGUUUGUGUUUCCACUGGGUGGUGCAGAGAAAGGGCACCUCUGCCACCAACUUAGGGGGAUCCUGACAAAUCAUCCCCUCCUUGGGUUCAAUUUUCCUGAACAUCCAGUGAUGGGGGGGUUAGGGUCUAGGGUGGCAAACAAGGUUCAUCUUUUGGGUCAGAUUUGAGGAGUGGUAAGUGGCUGCCUGGCUGGCUGGUUAGAGAGUACUGGCCCAUGGGCAGUCCUUGCCCUAGUUUUAGCCCUAAAAUGCUCAGUCUUGGUCACUGAAGUGGAUCCUGAUGUCUGGCUCAGUCCUCCCACGGACUCUGGCCCCAGCAGUGUUCCUAUGGCUCCCAAAGCGAGUCAGGAGCUGAUUUAGAUUCUACCUCUAUACAAAUUCUUUGGCUCUUUCCCUUCCUACCUGGUUAAUGUCAAUGUCUGCUGGAGAGAACUAUGCACUCUGGGUUCAACGUGAGACAACUUUCUAAUGAGAGUUCAUUUCCUUGAUGACAAUGAAGAGAGCAUCACAAAAAAGGAAGCUGAAGCCCAUCAUAGCCUACGCACUUUGCCAGCCCUAGGUGGCCUCCUGGCUGAGGGCUAUGCCAUCCACCUCCCCCGGCUCCUCUCAGUCCCCCUUCCUGCCCGGCCCAGUGCUCAUCCUCCCUGCCCUUCUCCUCUAAUCAGGAGCUCAAAGCCUCUUUACCGUCUCACUCACCAAGUCCGGAUAAGGGCUGAUAAACUCAUUCACUCCUGCUACAGGUGAAUUUCCAAUGGUGAGAUUCCAGGCACUGACUAGCUGAAGGCCUCAGCAGAAGUUUUUGUAGGGCACAAGAGGAAGUGACCACUACCCAACAGCAGAACAGUCACUGUUCUUCAGUGGUGGGGAGAAGUGUUCUGCCAACGGCCUGGAAUUUGAGACAUUCCGAUGGGAGCUGCCUUGCCCUCUAGAGCAUAUGGUGGAAACGGGUGUGCACAGUCUCUGGGA